rnacentral:rRNA from 1 species
UACGUAGGUGACAAGCGUUGUCCGGAUUUACUGGGCGUAAAGAGCGCGCAGGCGGUCGUUCAAGUCGCGUGUGAAAGCCCCCGGCUCAACUGGGGAGGGUCACGCGAUACUGAUCGACUCGAAGGCAGGAGAGGGUAGUGGAAUUCCCGGUGUAGUGGUGAAAUGCGUAGAUAUCGGGAGGAACACCAGUGGCGAAGGCGACUACCUGGCCUGUUCUUGACGCUGAGGCGCGAAAGCUAGGGGAGC